UGCGUAGGCGGGCAGGUAAGUCAGUGGUGAAAUCUCCGGGCUUAACCCGGAAACUGCCGUUGAUACUAUCUGUCUUGAAUAUCGUGGAGGUGAGCGGAAUAUGUCAUGUAGCGGUGAAAUGCUUAGAUAUGACAUAGAACACCAAUUGCGAAGGCAGCUCGCUACACGGUUAUUGACGCUGAGGCACGAAAGCGUGGGGAUCAAACAGGAUUAGAUACCCUGGUAGUCCACGCCCUAAACGAUGAUUACUCGACAUCAGCGAUACACUGUUGGUGUCUGAGCGAAAGCAUUAAGUAAUCCACCUGGGAAGUACGACCGCAAGGUUGAA
rnacentral:rRNA from 1 species